GCCCUUGUUCAACUUGUCUUUUGAGGACCCCCGGACCGCCGCCUCCAGCCCAGCCCUCAGCCACCGGGCAGCGGUGCGGGCAGACGGCGCGACCCGGCUCGGAGGGCGGCCGCCCCAAUCCCUUCCCCAGGCCUCGGUGGGCCCCAGGCCGAGAAGCCCGCACGCACAAAGCCCGGGGCCGCCGGAACCCUCGGCCCCGCUGCGUUCGGCCGCUGGAUCCGGACACGUCCGGGGCCCCGGGCCCGAGCGCCUCGGCGCGCUGCGCUCCGGCCGCCGGUGCAGGGAGAACGCGCCGCAGCGCCUGCCACGGGGCCGCGCCGGUUAGGUAGCUGGGGGGACCGGAAGGAUGGCGAGGAAGUAGGAGAGGGUUUCCUGAGAUGAAAGAUUACUUCCGUCCGGGCUCUGGCCUCUCUCUGGAGCUGGCUCGUUGGGGGCUGGGGAGCGGGGUGCGCGGGGCUCAGGGGCCGCGCCUUGCCACCUGCAGCGCCCGGGGCGAGCGGGACGCGCUCGGCCGCGUCCGGGGCUCACGCGGGGGAAUCCUUGCAGUGGGAGUCGAGAACAUUUCCUAGCGCCCGAGCCAUGGUGGCCAAACAGCGGAUCCGGAUGGCUAACGAGAAGCACAGCAAAAACAUCACCCAGAGGGGGAACGUAGCCAAAACCCUGAGGCCGCAAGAAGAGAAGUAUCCUGUAGGACCAUGGCUCUUGGCCCUGUUCGUUUUUGUUGUCUGCGGCUCAGGUCGACCACAUACACCCUGGCCUGGCCUGGAGACUGCCAGAACUCUCUUGAAAUUGUGACACCCAGAGGGAGUCACAGCCCCGAGACUGGCAAGUGUGAGGAACUGAGCAGCCCGGGAGAAACCCUUCUGUGUCACCACAAAGGGAAGACGGAGGACCUGCAUCUGCUCUGGACCUCCUGCCUCAGGAUCGGAGAUGGCCAAUCUGGAAAAAGAUGUCUCCUCGGCCACUGGCGCCCGCAAGCUAUCUUCCAGAUCAUUCAGAGCAUAAGGAUGGGCAUGUGAGCCGGCUGGGCUUUAAGCCCACCCUCCCCCCGACCCCCGGAGGGCGGAGGACCAUUUCAGCUCGUGGCCAGGUAGCUGCGGGAAGCCGACCAGCCGCCCCGGAGAGAAAAAAAGGCUCCCUCCAGUGUCCCCCCUGCCCCGAUCCCUGCAUCGUGGAUGUCAGACCAAAUUGCCUUCUCAGAGGACAUCUCGGCCCCUCCGAGUUCUCCAGCGGAAAGGACGUUUGGCUUUGCUCUUGGCAGGAUUGGUCCUUCCCGGAUUGGUGUCUGCGGCGGGCCCUGUCUGUCCGGGUGUGGCCCUGGGUUUCCGUGAUGUCUGCAUGUGGGCCUCGGAAUGAUCACCGCUUUACUUUCUACGGAUACAAUUUCUGCUCCAUUGGGAAUUGCUUUUACAAAUAAAUGUCUUUGUUCAACCUUAAA